ensembl:lncRNA
UGUGGGUGCAGAGGUGCAGCGCGGAGAGGCAGGGAGCAGCGUGUUUUGGAGAUGCAGUGGGGGUGUUGGGGGGCACCGGAGAACGCGGACACGUGGGGAUGAGUGACUGUGCAAAGGUGCGUGGCAACCACGGAGGACUGCCCCAGAGGUACCACUGUAUCUGCUGGUACCACAGCGGCUGAGGUGGCUGCCACAGGUCUGAGCAGGGAGGUACGGGGGCAUCUGUGGGCAGCAGAGGGAGAGGAAGCACAGCCCAGUGGAUGCGGGGGAAAGGGACACAGCCUUAAAGCACACCAUCCAGGCUGAGACCCCCCACGCUUUCUCAGCCAGAAGAUCCCUGCCAGAUGUAGCACUGCUGCUGCUCGUGCUCAGCUGGAAGCAGGUUUUUCUCUAGCAAAGCUCCCCCACCCUACUGGGCCACCUCCAGGGGAAUGUCAGGGCCAGAACUGAGGACAAGAGAGGCUGGAGUGCAGUCAGUCCCCUCAAGCUGAGUGUUUCCAGCACACCAUCAGACCAUCCCAGCAAAGCACAGCUGCACCACAGCCACCCUCUGCCUGGACUUACCCCUCCCUGCUCUCCUGAGCAAUGCACCCACAUUGGCCUUCCACACAAUCUCAAGAGCAAAACACAGAGGAGAUGACCGUGCUCCCCACCACCACUCUCUUCUCAGAUUCAGCCUAGUGGGGCUUUGAGCUUUAAGGCCUCCUGUGUCUGUUCCUGUCUCCUAUCCUGGGCAGCUGUGUUGUGUCACUCAGAUUUUUGUCUUCUGCAAAAGUACAGAAUAGAUGUAGGUGGCCACAAAGGUAUUAGAGAGGCAUUCAAAGCUUUGGUCGCUGCUGAUGGGCAGGGUGGGGGUCGGCACAACUUUUGGGGGUGCUCGUGCUCAUGGGGCUAUGGCCUAAAGAGUGCUGCCUCCCCUACAUACUCAAGUUUCUUCUAAUGCUCCCCAUAGUGAGACAUGCAGCCACAGCAUCCAGUUGAGCACUCGGCCAUGUUGGACUCACCAGUGCUCACUCCUUCCUGCUCCUUUCCCCAGGGAUUUUGGCUCUGGGGAGCACAGGGAGGUGUCCCUGUGGCACUGAGUGCUGAGAGGCUGAAUGCUGUGACAGCCAUUCUCUGUGCGGUGUUCUUCAGAUACGUCUGGUGUUAGCACAGGCUGCUUCCUGCAAAGCCCUUUUUCUCUCAGCACUUUGUUCCCGCAGACAGGCUGAGCACACUGGGUGCUGCACCUAUGGGUACGUAUGUGUGUUACUCAGGCUGUGGCCAACCAAGGUUGGGGGAACUGUGGGACAUGCACAGAUGAACUGUGAUGGAUGGAAUUCAAAUCCUCCUAGCGCCAGAAUGAAACUAAAGGCACUCCGUCCUCUACCCCACUGCCCGGAUGCCCACCUAGCUCCCUUUGAGGGCACAGUGUGGGCAGCGAGGGGCUUUGGCACAGGGCAUCUCCCAUAUGUGGGCCACAGCACGGGUUGCAGCUGCAGCCCCAGGGCCUGCCAUGAAAACAGGCGAUGUCAGAGCAACACAGCUGCACCUAUGCCACAGAGGACAGGGAAAGCCCUGAGAUACAGCACAGAGGUCACCACGACAAGCUGGAGUAGAGGCUGGGGAAUUUAGAGUCAGGAAUGAUGAUAACACAUUUAGACUAAGUCAUACCCUCCUCUCCUCCUCCAGUUCCUCCAGCAUUCCCAGUCACUGCAGGGGCUGGGAGGAGGUGCAGGGGAAUGAUAUCACUAGAAAACAGCCCAAGCAGGACCCACAUUCCCUGCCCACUGCCAGAUCCAUGUGGUACCACUCCUGGCAUCCUCAAGGGCUGCAGCUGCUCCACAUGAGCUCUGGGGCCAUCUGAGCUCUGUCCCUGGAGCACUUGCCAGGGCCAGAACAAGUUGUGGCUGCUACAGAAUUCCCACUUCCACGGGUCCAUGCUGGUCUUACCCCAAGAGCGUAUUUCAGCACAUGCUGUAUUCAAGGCAAACUAUUCCUGCUGGGAUCUGGGGAUCCUUUAUCUCUGUUCCCAGUGCUGGGAGGAACAUGAGGAGUCCUGUUGUUUGGAAAAAACCCCAAAGCCCAUAGAGGAUUGAUUGAGCUAAAUGGAGGUGCUUUGGCACAGCCUUUGGGACACACUGCAGGUAUCUCAAGUCACGGAGGGCACUUUGCAGCAGCUUCUCAAGGCCCAUGUGUAGUGCAGCAGCUCUUCCACCACUCUUCUUCCCCUGCCCCUCGUUCCAGCCUGGGGCUGGAAGCACAUCUGCCCAGAGGUGAGAGCAGAGCUGCUCGGCUGCCAAAGUAGAACACAGCUCAGAAGUUCAUUCUGGGAUUGCCAUGCAGUGUGAAGAGGUACCCAUUGGCCAGAUGGGGCCUUUGCUUCAAAAGCGGUGGAAAGCUCAACGUCAGCGUGCAGCCCUGUGCCCUCCGGUGCUGGAAGGGGCUGCUCACCCUCAGCCAUACAGUUCUCCAUUUCUAUGGGCUGAAAGAUUUCAGAGCCUUGCUCUGGGAGCUGCCCAAGGUGUUGCUGAUGGCAUCUAAGAGAAAAGCAUGGAGCAGCGUUGCUGCGCACUGCUUAUGUGUAGCUAUGGUUACAGGAGUCUGUGUCAGAGUAUGUACGAUGUUACCAGGGAAAUCAGACGUGGUGGUGUCAACAGAUACUGCAGGAGCUCAUCCUCCAUCAGAGCAGAGCUCAGAAGCUCAGUGCAGACCCACACAGCAACCGGCAGCGAUAAGAAUAAAUGCCAUUUGGAGAAGAAAACCAUCCUACCCACGCGGAGGGAGGGGGGCCUGGCAGGGACAUGCAGGUACCACCCACUGCUGCAAGCACUUGGCACGUGUUCCCAGAGACAUUCAAACAUGUACCAAAGAGCUUCUCCUGUCUGAGCAGUCAGUGCAUCCUUACAGACCUCCCUACAAUUGGAGCCCCUCAGGGUGUUUGCAAUGUAGCCCUGCAUCCUUUCCAACAGCAAAUGUUUCUGUGAGAGAGAAUUACUCUUCCAAAAUGACAUUUUCAGGAUCUUUUAAGAAAGUGGUUUCAUGAAGCUCGAUUUUUUUUCUUCCCGCAUUUAUUUGCAUUUUUAAAACGGUGGCAUUUAGGGGUGUUGUUUUGAAAUAUAUGUCAAUCCCAUCACAUCACCCCACUUAAGGAUCAGAAGCGCUGCAGUGAAAACCCUCAUAGAAAACACCCCAAGUGAAAGCAUACCAAGGAAACACAAGCUUCGGAUCGAGGAAAGGAAUCAAAGUGUCUUAUUCAUCUACCAACCUGUAGUCAUUGCUCAAGCAAAAGCUGUUUGAAAACCAGAAGCACAAAGAGUCUCACGGGAGCGUGUUGGUUGUGGAGAGCAAUGUGGGAUGUUUGGCCACAUCCCGAACUCGGCGUGAUGUCAGGGAGCUUUUGGCUUUGGGCAUCUGCCUGUAGACACCUCAACGUGGAGGCGAUGUUUGUAAGUGCUGAGCACUUUCCCUCUGGAAAGUAAAUUGCUGAUGGCAUCUGCAGCCACUGCCCAGAUCAUAACUCAGAGCUGACAAUUGUAGCGCUGCUGCUUUUUAAUGACAGCCUCGGUUGUGCUGCUUGCUCUCUGCUGGUGCCAUGCUGGAGUCACAGCAGUGACUCCGCAGUUUGAGGCUGCCUGGUUUAACACGUGCACCUCUACAGCCCCCUCAUGCCCUGGCAGCUCUCUCCUUGCAUCCCUGGGACACAGCCCAGGGUCCGACCUGAAGCUGUUCCUUUUCCCUUAUGCUUCAUUUCAGACAGAAGUGUUCGAAGCGGUGCUUCCCCUCCCUCCCCCUUGCCAUGAGGUUUUUAAAGUGCUCUUAAAGCAUUUGCCUCAAAGAAGGGUUUUGUUUCUUUGCUUGUUUUUUUUUAGUUUAUAGCCACAGACACACGGUCCCCAUUAACUUCCUCCUGUUGCUCUCUCCAGCAGCACUCAGGGAGAGCUCACAGCAGUUUGGCCAAUCUGAUAAAGGAGAUGAAUCAUUCUGGAGUCAUCUGCUGCUAAAAUGAACCCAUCACAUAGAUGACAUGAGUGUCCUGAGAGAUGGUACAGCAGAGAACCCUUCUGUUGGUUUUAUGGGCCUGCAUCCGAGCGAGCAUAAAACUUGGAAACACCUGAAGAAAUUCUUCAGUAAGAAGACUGAAUGCUGGCUGCCUAAACUCAAACACAACGGGACUCGUUAGAGCUGCAGGGCAAAGCCCCAUGGAUUUGGAAGUAACAAGAUGAGAACUCAUUGUAUGGAAAGAUCUGAGACUGCAACCCAAGACAUCCUCCCUCACGUUCUCAAGAACUUCCCCACAUGUUGGCAGUCUCAUGGUCCGUAUUUCAGAAGGGACAAGCAGACUGCGUAGACCUUCCAUCUCAUUUGGGCCAUGCACCUACUGACCACACGCCUGGCCAAGAGAGCUGUUGUGAAGUCAUCUACUUCAGACCCUGGAGACCUCUUCAGUAGGAGAUACCAUUUCCCAAGGAAUCUGUGCCUAGAUUUAACCACUGCUAAAAUGUGAACCUUAGUUCUGGACAAUACCAACAGCAAGCUGUCUGAAUUACCCCUUCCCUCUGAAUUAAGUCUGAGUACUAUUAUAAAAUCUUGAUAGAUCCAGUCCAAAAUGAAUCCAGAAUUGCUUUGCGCCAAGCUGAAGCUGAGCAGUGCCAAGGACAGUUGAGCUUAGACUGGAAUCUUCUUGGUCUUUUUUGAAUCCAAACCAGGGACACAUCAUAGCAUCUACUCAUAUAUCUGAGAGAUUUGAGGGCAAGAUUUUCUCCACCAUCUUUCAGCAUCAUCUGUAACAGGUGCCUAUCCUGGCUGUGUGUAGAGUUCCAUGGUUCCCUCCUGGCCUCACUCCUGGUACCUCCAGGAAUCACAACAGGUUUCCAGCAAACCUGUUGAAGGUUUGGAGCUGAGCCUAUCUCAGUUCAACCCUUGUCUUCUCUUUGUUACCUCCCACAAGCUCACUGCUAAUGGAGGAUGCUGAGCAGGCUCUUGGAGGGUUCUCACGGGCACAGAACGACUGCAGAGGGAAGGAUACUCCAUGCCAGGUUCCCCUUGCAAAGCUCCAGAACACACUGUUCUGGAGGGCCUUCCUGGGCCUCCCUCAUUUAAAACUGUUUCCCUCUGACCAGGCAACACUCAAAUUGCCUUGGUUCUGUUUCCUCCACAUCAUCGUUCUCACUGGGCUCAGAACAGCAUCCCAUCCCCUGCAGGGAUGUGGGGGGUAAUGUGCUCAGGGUGUCAUGGGGGGUCUGAGCCGCACUGCAGUGGAAACCAAAGCUGCUGCAAAGAGCCUCGAGGGAGGGAGGGUGGCAGCAUUUGCAGAGUCUGCAGGCAGGAGAGACAGGAGUCGGUAGGAGGCAUCCAUCCCAGCACUUGGGGCAGUAAGUUACCACUUCGGGCAGCCAGGAGAGCUGGCACAAGGCUGUUAGGGGGCCAGAGCACUCCUCCUCAUGCUCAGCAUCCACCACACAGCAUCAAGACCUCACACUGUCCUGUAAGGCUCUUUCCCGUACUCACAGCUGCUCUGUAUGCUGCCAGCCCUAUAGGCAGUGUGCCCAGAAUAGGUAGGGCAAAAGGGCAGGACAGGCUUCAUCCAGGCCUCAGUCCUGGCUCACUCUCCAGCUUAGAAUGCCCCAGUAUGGGCUAUGAGCCCUAAAGGUCCUAUAUUAAAUCCAAGGGCUGUCUAAAGCUGCGGUCUGUCUGCUCUGAUCCGGCACCUCCUGAGGUAAUUGGAUGAUCAGGAGGGAUGGAAGGUGUGCUUGCAGCCCAGAAGACCAAUGGUAUCCUGGGUCCCAUCAGAAGAGGGGUGGCCAGCAGGGCGAGGGAGGGGAUUGUCCCCCUCUACUCUGCCCUUGUGGGGCCCCAGCUGGAAUUCUGCCUCCAAAUCUGGGGCCCCCAACAUGGGAAAGAUGUGGAGAUGUUGGAGAGGGUCCAGAGGAGAGCCACAAAGGUGAUCCAAGGUCUGGAGCACCUCUCCUACGAAGACAGACUGAAGGGAUUGGACCUGUUCAGCCUGGAAAAGAGAAGGCUGCGGGGAGACUCACUGUGGCCUUCCAGUAUUUCAAGGUAGUUUAGAAACAUGAGGGAAAUCAGCUUUUUACAUGGGUAGACAAUGGGGAAUGAUUGUAAACUAAGGGAAGAGUGACACAGAUUGGAUGUUAGGUGGAAGCUUUUUGCUGAGAGAGUGGUGAGGUGCUGGAACAGGUUUCCCAGAGAGGCUGUGGAUGCCCUGUCCCAGGAGGUAUUUAAGGUCAGCCUGGGUAGGCCCCCCAUUAAGCUGUCAGGACCUCGUGUUCUACUGUGGACAACCUAUCUCAGGCAACACCAAGAUCCCAACAGCAGGUGCAUUCCUAGAUCAGGAAGGGGACAGGGGAGGGAAGAAGGGCACAUCCUGGUCCUCACGGGAGACAGAGCCAGGUGGGACAGAUGGGGAAGGCUCCUGCGGGAUGCUGGCUGGGCUCAGAUCAUGCUGGUGUGAGGCAGGCCUGCAUCCCCCUGAGGUCCCCAGGGAGGGUUAUAAAUUGCUUUUCCCUAACCAGGAUUAUUGAUUGUGGUCAGGCCAGUGGCUCAGAGCUUGCUAAUGAAUUGUAAUUGGAAAGAAGCUCCACUUUGAUACAUUUUAUUUUAUUUAUGUUCGAAUUUGCCAUGCAUUAAGCUGGGGGCUCAUUAAAUUACUGAGGCAGACGGUUCCUGCCAAGAUGGCCUGAGCUAAUGGUGCUGGGCAGACAUCAACUGGGGACUGGCAGCAACAGACACAGGAGAUACGUGGUCUGCAGAGAGUUCUGGUAGGCCUUGUGCUUCUCAGCUCCCUCCACGUAGGCAGAAUUCAAGACUGGCAUGGCUAAUACUGCUGCCUUCUCUGUGUAGCCCUCUCCUCUUUCUGUCCUUACUUCAUCUUCCUACAGUGCUGAGAAUGGAUUUUUCUAGGGAAGUGAUGUUGUGAAGUUUGGAAUGCAGUGGGUGAGACAGAGGCCACGCUGUCCUGUCUGCUGAACAGGAGUAUCCUGACCCAAAUUCUAGUCUCAGGAAAACCUGAGAGAGGAGAAGAAGACUGAAGCAAAUCACAAGAGUAACAGACCAGGAGCACUGUCCAGUUGAGCAAAAUGGGACCAGAGUCUGAAGACUGAGAGUGAUCUAAAUACUGUAAGGGCAGUAUGUGGUAAGAACAAUGCAGUGGAACAGGAUAAAGACAAGCCUGAGCCAUGCACAUCUCUGCAGUUUGUUGGUCUAAGCAAACUGUACUGGAACAUACUGGGUAAUAAACUGGCUGUAGGACUGGGCCCAGAGAGUAAUGGUGAAUGGAGUUACAUCCAGCUGCUAACCAGCCACAAGUGGUGUUCUCCAAAGGUCAGUACUGGGGCCCAUCCUGUUCAAUAUCUUUACUGAUGACCUGGAUGAGGGCACUGAGUGUACCCUCAGUAAAUUUGCAGAUGACACUCAGUUGGGAGGAAGUGUCAAUCUACUUGGGGGCAGGAAGGCUCUAUAGAGGGAUCUGUACAGGCUGAUCACUGGGCUGAGGCCAAUGGGAUGAAGUUCAACAAGACCAAGUGCCAGGUCCUGCACUUUGGCCACAAAACAACCCCAGGCAAUGCUACAGGCUUGGGGCAGAGUGGCUGGAAGACCACGUGGAAGAAAUGGACCUGGGGGUGUUGGUCAACACUAGGCUGAACCAGAGCCAGCAGUGUGCCCAGGUGACCAACAAGGCCAAUGGCAUCCUGGCCUCUAUCAGAACUAGUGCAGCCAGCAGGAGCAGGAGGUGAUCGGCCCUCUGUACUCAGCCCCGGUGAGGCCGCACCUCGAGUGCUGUGUUCAGUUUUGGGCCCCUCACUACAAGAAAGACAUCGAGGCCCUGCACUGAGUCCAGAGAAGGGCAACGAAGCUGUGAGGGGCCUGGAGCACAAGUCUUAUGAGAAGCAGCUGAGGGAAUGGAAUGGUUUAGUCUGGAGAAGAAGAUGUUCAGGAGGGACAUUAUUGCUCUCUACAACUACCUGAAAGGAGGUUGUGGUGAGGUGGCUGUUGGCCUCUUCUGCCGUGUAGCUAGCAAUAGGACUAGAGGAAAUGGCCUAAAGUUGCACCCGAAUCUCCAAUUGGAGGUUCAGAUUGGACAUUUGGAACGAUUUCUUCUCCAGAAGGGUGGCCAGGCACUGGAAUGGGCUGCCCAGGGAAGUGGUGGAGUCCCCAUCCCUGGAGUGUUCAAGAAAUGUGUAAUGUGGUACUGAGAGGUGUGGUUUAGUGGGGGAAUAUUAGUGGUAGGUGGACAGUUGAACUGAAUGAUUUUGGAGAUCUUUUCCAACCUUGGUGAUUCUAUGAUUCUAUGGCUCUCCAGUACCAUCCCAGUACUACAAGCUGGGCUGUUGGUAGGUAUGUUGGUCUCUGAAAACAGAUGGAGAUAUCUGUCUCUCUCCCCCCUCUCAAGACUGCAUUCUACUACACGUGAAUGCACAUAUUUACCUUAUUCUAAGCACCAGAAUAGCCCUGACAUUAACCACAAACUCAGAAGGAUCCAUCAGUCAUCAGUAGAAGCAGGUAAUAUCUGAAGCCAACAGAAAUUCAUGGAGAUGCAACCUGGAACCAUCCUGUCAGCUACUGAACAGAAAAUAUUCAAACUGUCAAAAUAUUCAAAAUACCAAGCAGAAACAAAUAUUUUGCCUCCAGGUGAAAGUGAGAACAGGCAAAAUGGACAAUGCAGAGGGUAAAGGGAUAGAUUUUCUAUCAAGGUCUGAUAAUUAACUAAUUUAAAAAUUAAUUAAAUCCCUUAAUUGGGGCAUCAGAUGUGCUUAGUAGAUGAUUAGUUGAUGAAAAACAAGUCAGUUAUUAUGGGUGGGGAAAAAUUACAGAUUUAAACAUAGACAGAAGGAUGCUGCCAUUUAAAGCUGAGACGAUUUUGUCUGGGGGUAGAGUAUGAGAUACUGAACCAGAACUACAAAUGUAGGAUCAGGGGAGGAAAUGAAGACAAGACCAUGAAGACAAAUGGAAUAACACUGCAGGCUUGACUGCAUCAACCAGGGAGGCAGUGAUAUAAGCAGAGCCUUCUCUUUUUAUCAGACCAGGUAGAUUUCCACUGACCAUAUACAGAGCAUAAACUUCAGGCUGGUAUUGUGAAUGAAUGGCAUAUAUAAUCCAAUAAAUUGGAGGAGGGUGUAACGUACUGCAAAAUAUGUUCUACAUAGAGGUGUGGCAGCAGAUGGAUCUCACAAGAUUUAAUAACUGGAAUUGGUAGAAGGAUGCCUGUGUUCAUGGACAAUUAUACUGAAUAAAAAUGGAAUAAUUCAUAAAGAAUUAGACCAAUACUUCUGGUGCUCAAGUUAAUGGUCUCUCUCUGAAGUUAGACUGUGAAGAACAAGAAGGAAAAUAGAGUCACAUGGAAUUGUUUCGACUAGACCUUAGCUGUUAUUCCAGCUAGCCCUUAACUGUGUGAAUUAGAUGGAGGGUGACAUAAAACUGAAUUGCAUUGAUUUCAGGAAUGGAAAAAGCUAUUCUGAAGCUGAAAACAGCCUACUUUAAAGAGGCAUUGCAGAAGAAGGAAAAUGAUGGCAAAGAGCAAACACAGCGUUGCCCAUGUAUGUGUGUUCUGAUCCCUACAAAGGGGUUGGCUUAAAACUGUUAAUGAAGAGUCCAAUUUAUACUCUAUUUCAGGAGUACUGUAACCACAACUUAGAAGUGGUGUUUCUAGAGAGUGCAACUACUGAACUAGAUCUGAUGUGUAAACUGAGAUCUGCUGGGUUGGGCGUCAGCUGUAGAAACCGAUUGUUGAUUGUUGAAAAUGUCCAUUUUUUGCCUAAAGUGUACAAUAUUAAACACAUUUGUUUGUAUUCAGAGCCUGCAAACAAUCAUUAAA